rnacentral:misc_RNA from 1 species
GAAAUUUUCAUCCAUUUCCACAUUGUAGCUAUGGUAGCUGUAAUCAAGAGUGUUUCAAUAAGUUUGUUGAGAUUCAACAAAAAGACUAUGUAUUCAAUAAAAAGACUACGUUUUCAAGUUCUUGAAUGGGUUGAAUGAAACGUAUCAAGCACUUCAGUCACAAAUUAUCCUGAUGAAGCCUUUUCCCUCACUUGAUCAAGUCUAUAAUAUGGUCUUAAGAGAAGAAACUCAGAGA